GGUGAGCCAAGGGAAAUCCACACAUGUUCCGUCACAUGGCCCUGGGUGCCCCCGCAAUUCGUGGGGUUGGGUCAUGAGGGAACAUGGAGGCCCAAC
rnacentral:sRNA from 1 species